rnacentral:lncRNA from 1 species
UGAAAACUAGCAGGUAAUUAUUACGGUAUGUGGUUUGCUCUUCUUCAGUCUCUCUCCUUACCGUGAAUAGGCUCUUUAUCCAUGCAAAUGUUUGGCAGACAAUUUGAUUCCUUCUGGAUUGGUUUUGGAAGGCUUUUUGGUCUGUCUCGCUCUCUCCCUCUCUCUGUACAUGUGUGUCUCUCUUUCCCUCUCGUUCUCUCUCUUUCCCUGCUGGCAACAGCAUCCUACUGUUGGCAGGACUGACCAGAAUAACAACAGUAACACCAGACAUCCAGGAGGGAAAAAAACCCCUGAUCCAUUGAACUGGAGUUCUUGCCCCUUCAUAAUUACACUCACACCCAUAUCUUUCCCCGAUUUUUCUCCCCAGUUUUUUUCACCACCGUUUGAGACUUCAGCUUAGGGUAAUUAGCUAGGAGAGAAUAAAACAUCUGAUCGGGAGAGGGGUGGUGCAUUUUGGACCGAGAUGGCUAACAGAAACAUUCUGUGGCUCUUCUGUGGACUCUUCCUUUUAGCACUGAUUCCCUCAUCACUUCAAGGAGGUGUGUACGUCCCACCUGGUGUCGGGCUUGGACAAGGAGGUACCGGACAAGGAAAUGCAUAUUAUGGGGGGGCUUCUGGAGGGGUCCCUGGAGGGGUCCCUGGAGGGGUCCCUGGGGGCUAUAAACCAGCCAAAGCUGCAGGAGGAGGUUAUGGGGGUGGAGGUCAAGGCGUGGUUCCAGGUGGGCUGGUGCCAGGAGGAGUUGGUGCCGGUGGCCAAGGCUAUAGAGGAUUGCUAGCAGGUUCGAAUCCAGGAAAACUAUUAAACUCAUUAAUAAGGGGAAACUUAAAACUGCCAAAACACAUAGCAAAUAAGUAGAAAACAAGAUUAUGUUACACCAGAAAACUUAAUCACUCACCAUGACAAUGCUUGUUUUUAACUCAACAGGAGCAGGUGGAAAAGGUCCAAAACCAGGUAGGCAUGACUUUAAUAGGCAGUUUUAUAUUUACCAGAAAGUAAGAAGUG